UAUUUUAUGUAUAUGUUGUGUAACUAAUUGUGGCUCAAUAUAGAAAUCAUUGGCAGCUCUUGGUUCUUUGUCCUACAAACAAUGUUGCAAUCUGGUUUUGUUCUUUGCAUCCUAAGCCCAAUGUACAAUUCAAAAAUUUAAUAAAAAGUGUUAUGGUUGUGUAUAAUGUUAUGAGUGGUAGAUCUACAGCACAACCAAAGAACCUAGAUUGGAUUUAUCCCAUGGUAAGUGGUUUGUUACCUCAAUAUACCUAAAAAUUGCUUUUUAUUAGCUUAAUUAAAAAAUUGUUUAUACAACUCAAAUUGAUAUUCAUUUUAGAGUAAUAUGCAACAAGGACAUUAUGAAUGUGGAUACUACGUGAUGAAUUGGAUGUUGGACAUAAUUGAAGGAGAAGUAACAACUGAUUGGAUCGAGCUUUUUGACGAUGUUGCACCAUUGC